CUCACGCUCACACACACACUCACUCUCUCUCUUACACAUUCACACACACUCUCUCUCUCUCUCACACACACACUCACUCUCUCUCUCUCUCUCUCUCUCUCACACACACACACACACACACACACAAUAAUAACUCUGAAUCAUGCAUGCACCUGUCAGCUUUGAAACAGACUUUUAGGAAACAAGAUGUGAACUCUUUGGAUUUUUAGCAUUUCUAGAAUAGCACUGUUACUAUUUAAGUUUUUGCAGUGAGCGUCACAAUGUUUGAUAAAAGUUUGUACGGGUUUUGUUAUCCUGGUUGUUUAUGUUUAGGUACGAUCAAUGUUUAUAUUACCGAGAUCUUUAAAUACACACACACAUUAUAUAUAUAUAUAUAUAUAUAUAUAUAUAUAUAUAUAUAUAUAUAUAUAUAUAUAUAUAUAUAUAUAAAGUGUGUACAGCAUUAUUAGUGUUAAAAGUACAAAAAAAAAGUCUUUAUUGUGGCUGAAUGUUUACUAAAAAUAAUUGACAUAGUUUUCUAAAGAGAUGUCAGAACCUAGAUUUGUGAUGUUUUUAAUAUUUAUAAAGACUGAAGAAAACAGUAUAAAGUAUAUUGAUAUAGUGUGACUUAUGUUUUCGGGCAUGUUUUUAGACUUUAACGGACGGCGUCCUUCCAAAUAUCUUAAUACAGCUAUGAAUCGUCACUUAGUCAGAUUAUUCCCUUAUUUGUCCGAAUGUUUCCGCAGGAAUUAAACGUCUUCGUUGAUGUAUAUAUUUAUUUACAACUGAUUUCUCUUGUUUCCUGAUUAUGGAUUGUACUUAAAUCCCUAAUAUAUAAUGUUACUGAACAUCCUCCACUGUAUCGUCACUUUUACCCUCACACGAGGACUGUACCAUUCGGUUUAUUUCAAGCACACUAUGAUUGUUUUUUUGUUUGUUUUCGUUGUUGUUGUUUUUUUUAAAACACACCAAACCUUGUGUUCGUUUUUGUUUUUCUGUUCAUCUGUGAAAAAUUCCUCAUCACCGGCUUUACUGAAAGAUUUCAACGUUUUCUCCAAACGGUUUCAUCAGUUUUUACUCAUCCGAUCCACGACACCACAAAAGAAAAGGGAAACGCAUCAUGUAGACUCGAAUAAAGUAACUAUUAGAAACGUUUGUAUGUUGUUGAGUGCAAUAAACAAACCAAUGUGCAAUAAGAAGUA